UACGAAGGGGGCUAGCGUUGCUCGGAAUCACUGGGCGUAAAGGGUGCGUAGGCGGGUCUUUAAGUCAGAGGUGAAAUCCCUGGAGCUCAACUCCAGAACUGCCUUUGAUACUGGAAAGAUCUUGAGUUCGGGAGAGGUGAGUGGAACUGCGAGUGUAGAGGUGAAAUUCGUAGAUAUUCGCAAGAACACCAGUGGCGAAGGCGGCUCACUGGCUCGGUACUGACGCUGAGGCACGAAAGCGUGGGGAGCAAACAGG
rnacentral:rRNA from 1 species